rnacentral:rRNA from 1 species
GACGAACGCUGGCGGCGUGCCUAAUACAUGCAAGUAGAACGCUGAAGCGAGGAGCUUGCUCUUCUUGGAUGAGUUGCGAACGGGUGAGUAACGCGUAGGUAACCUGCCUUGUAGCGGGGGAUAACUAUUGGAAACGAUAGCUAAUACCGCAUAACAAUGGAUGACACAUGUCAUUUAUUUGAAAGGGGCAAUUGCUCCACUACAAGAUGGACCUGCGUUGUAUUAGCUAGUAGGUGAGGUAAUGGCUCACCUAGGCGACGAUACAUAGCCGACCUGAGAGGGUGAUCGGCCACACUGGGACUGAGACACGGCCCAGACUCCUACGGGAGGCAGCAGUAGGGAAUCUUCGGCAAUGGGGGCAAACCUGACCGAGCAACGCCGCGUGAGUGAAGAAGGUUUUCGGAUCGUAAAGCUCUGUUGUAAGUCAAGAACGGGUGUGAGAGUGGAAAGUUCACACUGUGACGGUAGCUUACCAGAAAGGGACGGCUAACUACGUG